ensembl:rRNA 5S_rRNA 5S ribosomal RNA
AGCCACAGCCAUGUCACCCUGCAACCCAAGACUCACUUGCUACUCACUGAAGCUAAGCAGGUGUGAGCCUGGUCAGUACCUGUAUGGGAGACCACAUGGGAAAGCAUGGUUGCUGUUGGAA